GCGGUGAAGCUUUCGUCUCUUAAAUAAGUCAAGGGCAUUCUUUCCUCUAUCGAUUCUUCGUCCUCCGCCGAACUCUUCCUCUACCUUUCCGACCUCCAGCGUUUUUCCUCAUAGCCUCGUUAGGGGAUUUCUUGUCGAACUUGGAAGAAACAAAAAAGAGGCUUAGGAAAAUUGAGGAAGAGGCGGGAGCUUUACGUGAAAUGUAGGCUAAAGUCGAGAAGGAGAUGUACGUUGUCCAAGAUUCCUCAAGUGCUUCUACAAGUCAAGCUGAAAAGGAGGAAGUGGAUUCCUGCUCGAUUUAUGUUGGUAACGUGAGGUUUAUCAACCCUUUCCUAUGCCUUAUAUAUGUUUAUUUAGUUUAUCAACCCUUUCCUAUGCCUUAUAUAUGUUUAUUUAGUUAAAUUGUCUCAUUUACCUUACCCGUGGUCCAAUUAUUAUCUUUAUGUUAAAAUUUUACUUGUAAGUUAGUUGAAAGUAUGAUUGUGCUUUAGUUGAAAGUACGUUCUUUAGUGACGUUUAUGAAUAAACGCCACUAACUUUGGCAGAUUUGUAACAUUCAAUUUUCAUUCAUAUACAAUCCUUCCUGUAACAUGAAAUCUAACCAAAAACAGCAAA